rnacentral:rRNA from 1 species
CCUACGGGGGGCAGCAGUGGGGAAUAUUGGACAAUGGGGGCAACCCUGAUCCAGCCAUGCCGCGUGUGUGAAGAAGGCCCUCGGGUUGUAAAGCACUUUCAGUGAGGAAGAACGCCUGGUGGUUAAUACCCAUCAGGAAAGACAUCACUCACAGAAGAAGCACCGGCUAACUCCGUGCCAGCAGCCGCGGUAAUACGGAGGGUGCGAGCGUUAAUCGGAAUUACUGGGUGUAAAGCGCGCGUAGGUGGCUUGAUAAGCCGGUUGUGAAAGCCCCGGGCUCAACCUGGGAACGGCAUCCGGAACUGUCAAGCUAGAGUGCAGGAGAGGAAGGUAGAAUUCCCGGUGUAGCGGUGAAAUGCGUAGAGAUCGGGAGGAAUACCAGUGGCGAAGGCGGCCUUCUGGACUGACACUGACACUGAGGUGCGAAAGCGUGGGUAGCAAACAGGAUUAGAUACCCUUGUAGUC